rnacentral:rRNA from 1 species
AUUGAACGCUGGCGGCAGGCUUAACACAUGCACGUCGAGCGAGCGGCGGACGGGUGAGUAAUGUCUGGGAAACUGCAUGGUGGAGGGGGAUAACUACUGGAAAAGGUAGCUAAUACCGCAUACCAUUAGAUGUGCCCAGAUGGGAUUAGCGAGUAGGUGGGGUAAUGGCUCACCUAGGCGACGAUCCAUAGCUGGUCUACGAGGAUGACCAGCCACACUUGAACUGAGACACGGUCCGUACUCCUACGGGAGGAAUCAGUGGGGAAUAGUGAACGAUGGGCGCAAGCCUGAUGCAGCGAUUCCGCGUGUGUGAAGAAGUCCUUCGGGUUGUAAAGCACUUUCAGCGAGGAGGCGUUACUCGCAGAAGAAGCACCGGCUAACGCCGUGCAAGCAGCCGCGGUAAAUC